GAUUGAUUGAAAGGAAAUGUUUUUUUAGAUUCCACAGUUACUAGAUCAAUCACUAAUGACAUUAAGAUGCGCUACACUGCUCCAUGGAAAACUUGGUCAGAAAUACCUUUAAAGAUAAAAGACGAGCUCUUCGGACUUUUUCGGAGUCGAUAUACAUGGGAUGAGAGUGAAGAAGGUAUGGUUCGAAUUGCUUGGGAAAAGGUAGGUAAGGAAAGAUUGCGAGACAUUCUUAAUAGAGUUAGGAGCGAAUUGUUGCGCAAGCACAAGAAGCCAGA